GCUUACGGCCACACCGCCUGGUUCACGCCCGAUCUCGUUUGAUCUCGGAAGCUAACAUAGGGUGGGCCUGGUUAGUACUUGGAUGGGAGACAGCCUGGGAAUACCAGCUGCUGUAAGAU
rnacentral:rRNA from 1 species